rnacentral:rRNA from 1 species
AUGAACGCUAGCGACAGGCCUAACACAUGCAAGUCGAGGGGCAGCACAAGGAGCAAUCUGAGGUGGCGACCGGCGCACGGGUGAGUAACACGUAUGCAACCUGCCUGUAAGCGGGGAAUAACCCGUUGAAAGACGGACUAAUACCGCAUAAUACUAAAGUUACUGCAUGGUAAUUUAUUUAAACAUUUAUGGCUUACAGAUGGGCAUGCGCAUGAUUAGCUAGUUGGAGAGGUAACGGCUCCCCAAGGCAACGAUCAUUAGGGGUUCUGAGAGGAAGGUCCCCCCACACUGGUACUGAGACACGGACCAGACUCCUACGGGAGGCAGCAGUGAGGAAUAUUGGUCAAUGGACGAGAGUCUGAACCAGCCAAGUCGCGUGCAGGAAGAAUGUCCCUAUGGAUUGUAAACUGCUUUUGCAGGGGAAUAAGGUGCAUCACGUGUGAUGUUUUGUAUGUACUCUGCGAAUAAGGAUCGGCUAACUCCGUGCCAGCCGCGGC